AACGAACGCUGGCGGCAUGCCUAACACAUGCAAGUCGAACGAGACCUUCGGGUCUAGUGGCGCACGGGUGCGUAACGCGUGGGAACCUGCCCUUAGGUUCGGAAUAACUCCCCGAAAGGGGUGCUAAUACCGGAUAAUGUCUUCGGACCAAAGAUUUAUCGCCUUUGGAUGGGCCCGCGUUGGAUUAGCUAGUUGGUAGGGUAAAAGCCUACCAAGGCGACGAUCCAUAGCUGGUCUGAGAGGAUGAUCAGCCACACUGGGACUGAGACACGGCCCAGACUCCUACGGGAGGCAGCAGUGGGGAAUAUUGGACAAUGGGCGAAAGCCUGAUCCAGCAACGCCGCGUGAGUGAUGAAGGCCUUAGGGUUGUAAAGCUCUUUUACCCGGGAUGAUAAUGACAGUACCGGGAGAAUAAGCGCCGGCUAACUCCGUG
rnacentral:rRNA from 1 species